rnacentral:rRNA from 1 species
UGGGGACUAUUGCACAAUGGGCGCAAGCCUGAUGUAGCCAUGCCGCGUGUAUGAAGAAGGCCUUCGGGUUGUAAAGUACUUUCAGCGGGGAGGAAGGCGAUAAGGUUAAUAACCUUGUCGAUUGACGUUACCCGCAGAAGAAGCACCGGCUAACUCCGUGCCAGCAGCCGCGGUAAUACGGAGGGUGCCAGCGUUAAUCGGAAUUACUGGGCGUAAAGCGCACGCAGGCGGUCUGUCAAGUCGGAUGUGAAAUCCCCGGGCUCAACCUGGGAACUGCAUUCGAAACUGGCAGGCUAGAGUCUUGUAGAGGGGGGUAGAAUUCCAGGUGUAGCGGUGAAAUGCGUAGAGAUCUGGAGGAAUACCGGUGGCGAAGGCGGCCCCCUGGACAAAGACUGACGCUCAGGUGCGAAAGCGUGGGGAGCAAACA